GCGAGACAGGUGACCGCGCGGGGGAGUGCGACCGAUAAACUGGUCGAGGACGACGCCGAGCGCAGCUCUCGGCACGUCCGCCAAUGAUCAGCCAGCAGCCGCUGCAACCACAGGGAG
rnacentral:sRNA from 1 species